AUUGAACGCUGGCGGAAUGCUUUACACAUGCAAGUCGAACGGCAGCACGGGGCAACCUGGUGGCGAGUGGCGAACGGGUGAGUAAUACAUCGGAACGUGCCCAAUCGAGGGGGAUAACGUAGCGAAAGUUACGCUAAUACCGCAUACGAUCUACGGAUGAAAGCGGGGGAUCGCAAGACCUCGCGCGAAUGGAGCGGCCGAUGUCAGAUUAGGUAGUUGGUGGGGUAAAGGCUCACCAAGCCAACGAUCUGUAGCUGGUCUGAGAGGACGACCAGCCACACUGGAUCUGAGACACGGUCCAGACUCCUACGGGAGGCAGCAGUGGGGAAUUUUGGACAAUGGGCGCAAGCCUGAUCCAGCCAUUCCGCGUGCAGGAUGAAGG
rnacentral:rRNA from 1 species